rnacentral:lncRNA from 1 species
UCACGAGAUCAAAAUUCAGAAACACAAGAUUAUGAAAAGAAAAAGAGAGGAUCUCUGCAGUUGGAGGAUGCCCAUUGGGGAUUUAUCCUAGUUUAGACUCCUAUUUGCUUUAAACUUUUUUAGCUCUCAGAUGGAGUUACUGCUUGAGUUUUUCAAAUCUAGAUAUAAGAAAAUUGGGAUAGAUAGAUAAGUAGGGGGGAGAG